AUUGAACGCUGGCGGCAGGCCUAACACAUGCAAGUCGAACGAGUGGCGGACGGGUGAGUAAUGUCUGGGAAACUGCCCGAUGGAGGGGGAUAACUACUGGAAACGGUAGCUAAUACCGCAUACCCUCGGAUGUGCCCAGAUGGGAUUAGCUAGUAGGUGGGGUAACGGCUAACCUUGGCAACGAUCCCUAGCUGGUCUGAGAGGAUGACCAGCCACACUGGAGCUGAGACACGGUCCAGACUCCUACGGGAGGCAGCAGUGGGGAAUAUUGCACAAUGGGCGCAAGCCUGAUGCAGCCAAGCCGCGUGUAUGAAGAAGGCCUUCGGGUUGUAAAGUACUUUCAGCGGGGAGGCGUUACCCGCAGGAGAGGCACCGGCAAACUCCGUGCCAGCCGCCGCGUAAUAC
rnacentral:rRNA from 1 species